rnacentral:rRNA from 1 species
UAGUAACGGCGAGUGAAGAGGGAAAAGCUCAAAUUUUGAAUCUGGUGUCUUUGACUCCCGAGUUGUAAUCUAGAGAAGUGUUUUCCGCGUUGGACCGUGUACAAGUUCCCUGGAACGGGGCGUCAUAGAGGGUGAGAAUCCCGUAUAUGCCAUGGACUACCAAUGCUCUGUGAUACACUCUCAACGAGUCGAGUUGUUUGGGAAUGCAGCUCAAAAUGGGUGGUAAAUUCCAUCUAAAGCUAAAUAUUGGCGAGAGACCGAUAGCGAACAAGUACCGUGAGGGAAAGAUGAAAAGCACUUUGGAAAGAGAGUGAAACAGUACGUGAAAUUGUUGAAAGGGAAGCGUUUGAAGUCAGUCACGUCUGUCGGAAUUCAGCCUGGCUUCUGCCUGGUGUACUUUCCGUCCGACGGGUCAGCAUCAAUUUCGACCGAGGGAAAAAGACGUGAGGAAUGUGGCUGUCUUCGGGCAGUGUUAUAGACUCGCGUUGUAUGUCUCGGUUGGGAUUGAGGAACGCAGCGCGCCUAUUGGCCGGGGGUUCGCGCCCCUCGGUACGCGCUUAGGA